AGAGUUUGAUCCUGGCUCAGAACGAAUGCUAGCGGCAGGCCUAACACAUGCAAGUCGAGCGGACAACCUUCGAGGGUUGUUAGCGGCGAACGGGUGAGUAACACGUGAGAAUCUGCCUUGUUCAACGGAAUAGACCAAGACAAUCUUGGUGUAAUGCCGUAUGAUUCCAAGAUUUGGUAAAGAUUAUAUCGGAACAAGAUGAGCUUGCGGUAGAUUAGCUAGUUGGUGAGAUAAAAGCCCACCAAGGCAACGAUCUAUAGCUGGUCUGGAAGGACGGACAGCCACAUUGGGACUGAGACAAGGCCCAAACUUCUACGGAAGUCAGCAGUGAGGAAUAUUGGACAAUGGGCGUAAGCCUGAUCCAGCCAUGUCGCAUGAGUGAUGAAGAUAAUAAACACUAGCGCAGAUAUGCGCUUUAGAUUGUAAAACUUAAUUGUUAGUGAAGAUAAUGACGUUAACUAACGAAAGCUCCGGCCAACUUCGUGCCAGCAGCCGCGGUAAUACGAGGGGAGCGAGUGUUGUUCGGUUUUAAUGGGCGUAAAGGGUGUGUAGGCGGUCUUGUAAGUCGAUAAUCAAAUCUUGGAGUUCAACUCCAUAGCAGUUAUCGAUACUGCAUUACUACGAACUUAAUAGGGGUGAAACACAAUUCCAAGUGUAGGAGUGAAAUCCGUCGAUAUUUGGAGGAGUACCGAAGGCGAAGGCAGUUCACUGGGUUAAGUUGACGCUGAAACACGAAAGCGUGGGGAGCAAACAGGAUUAGAUACCCUGGUAGUCCACGCCCUAAACGAUGAGUGCUAGUAGUCGAAUGUAAAUUGCAUAUUCAAAGACAUGUUUCGAACAUAUCGAUGGAUUUGUGAACUUAUAUUUGAUUAUAAAGCUAACGCGUUAAGCACUCCGCCUGGGGACUACGAUCGCAAGAUUAAAACUCAAAGGAAUUGACGGAGACCCGAACAAGCGGUGGAGCAUGUGGUUUAAUUCGAAACUGCACGAAGAACCUUACCAGCUCUUGACAUCCGAUGCUAAACAUGUUGGAAACAACAUGAACGCUUGCAUAAGCAAGCAUGCCUUGGACAGGUGCUGCAUGGCUGUCGUCAGCUCGUGUCGUGAGACGUAUGGUUAAGUCCUAGAACGAGCGUAACCCUUGCCCAUAGUUGCCCAUCAUUUGAUGGCUCUUUAUGGGAACUGCCAAUGAUAAAUUGGAGGAAGGAGAGGACAACGGCAAGUCAUCAUGGCCCUUAUGGGCUGGGCUACACACGUGCUACAAUGGCAACUACAAAGAGUCGCAAUAUCGUGAGAUGGAGCAAACCUUAUAAAAGUUGUCUCAGUUCGGAUUGCACUCUGCAAUUCGAGUGCAUGAAGCAGGAAUCGCUAGUAAUCGUGGAUCAGCAUGCCACGGUGAAUAUGUUCUCGGGUCUUGUACACACUGCCCGUCACACCAUGGAAGCUUGCUUCGUUCGAAGCUUCUAGAUUUAGAAGCCAAAACAAAGCAAGUGAUCGAGGUGAAGUCGUAACAAGGUAGCCGUAGGAGAACCUGUGGCUGAAUUAAUG
rnacentral:rRNA from 1 species